AGCAAAUUAGCGCAGGGGAAGCGUGCUGGGCCCAUAACCCAGAGGUCGUUGGAUCGAAACCAACAUUUGCUA
rnacentral:tRNA from 1 species